rnacentral:lncRNA from 10 species
GAAAACUACAAGUGUAGCCGGGUUCAGUGGCUCAUGCCUGUAAUCCUACCACUUUGGGAGGCCAAGGCAGGUGGAUCACCUGAGGUCAGGAGUUCAAGACCAGCCUGGCCAACAUGGUGAAACUCCCGUCUCUACUAAAAAUAUAAAAAUUAGCUGGGCAUGGUGGCACAUGCCUGCAUUCCCAGCUAUUCAGGAGGCUGAGGCAGGAGAAUCCCUGGAACUUGGGAGGCGGCGGUUUCAGUGAGCUGAGAUCUCGCCAUUGCACUCUAGCCUGGGCGACAGAGUGAGACUCCAUCUCAAAAAAAAAAAAGAAAACCACAAGCGUAGAUAAUUCUCGGACACCAAAGACAGUCAGGCUGAACUCGAUUUUCCAGCAGAAAAUAGAGUUGGACAAAUCAUUCAAAACCAUAACAGCACUAUCCUUCACUCCUCUCUAUUCCACUCCCCCGCGACACCUGCCUGGAUUUCUAUAACUUAUUUUAUUAUUUUAUUUUUUAUUUUAAGAUGGAGUCUCGCUCUGUCACCCAGGCUGGAGUGCAGUGGUGCGAUCUCAGCUCACUGCAACCUCCGUCUCCUGGGUUCAAGCGAUUCUCCUGCCUCGGCCUCCUGAGUAGCUGGGAUUACAGGCACCUGCCACCACGCCUGGCUAAUUUUUUUGUAUUUUUAGUAGAGACAGGGUUGCACCAUGUUGGCUAGGCUGGUCUCAAACUCCUAACCUCAAGUGAUCCACCUGCCUCGGCCUCCCAAAGUGCUGAGAUUACAGGUGUGAGCCAUUGUACCUGGCCUGGAUUUCUAAAACUUUUAUGCCUCUCACAAUGGACCUUAGAGUGGUACCAUUUUCCCAGGAGACAUGGGAAAAUGUACGCAGUCUGCACUGAUUGUGCUAUUGUCAACGUAAUUAAUGACAAUUCCCAAAAUCCCUUUCCUGGUCUGUUCCAAGUUAGAAUUGACCAAAAAAGGAACUUGAGUGAAAUUUGGAAAGCAGAAGUGAAGCAGCAGUUGUUGCCCUCAGCGGGUCUAUGGUCUCGUGUGUGGACAGACUCCCAGGUGCCUGACAAGGCCCCAGCUGAUCGUCACUCUCUUUCACACUGCAUUCAGCUCAACCUCCCAGGUAAACCACCUGGGUGUAGUGUACGUGUGCAGACCUGUGGAGGUGAAAGCUUCCCAGAGACCCUUCUGUGAGCUCUCCCGGUAAGGUCCCACUGCAGGGCCUGAACGGUACUUGGCCUCUCAGAUUUCUCUGCAGCCCCAACUUGUCUACCCAUUUUGUUGCUUCCAGCCAAUUGAAUGAUGACUUUUUUUUUUUUUUUUAGAGUCGGUUUUGUUCUGUCUCCCAGCCUGGAGUGCAACAGUGCAAUCACAGCCCACUGCAACCUCAAACUCCUGGGUUCAAGGGAUUCUCCCACCUUAACCUCCCAAGUAACUAGGACUACAGGCAUGUGCCACCCACAACUGGCUAGUUUGUUGUUGUUGUUGUUUUAGAGGCGGGUUCUCACUAUGUUGCCCAGGCUGGUCUCCAACUCCUGGCCUCAAGUGAUCCUCCUGCCUCUGCCUCCCAAAGUGCUGGGAGUACAGGCAUGAGCCACUGCACCCAGGUGUUGAUGACUCUUUUUGACCCUUCAACUCCCUCCCAAAACUUCACUUCCCUCAUUAAUCUUACAUUUGUGUAAUGUGUCUAAUUUUUUUUUCCUCUCUCUGUCAAUCAGACCUCACUGCAGCCUCCAACUCCUGGGUUCAAGUGAUCCUCCCACAUCAGCCUCCUGAGUAGUUUAGGACUACAGGUGCAUCCCACGACACCCAGCUAAUUUUGUUUUCUUUAGUAGAGAAGAAGUCUUGCAAUAUUGCCCAGACUUAUGUCUCAAAUUUCUAAAAUAAAUCCCUUAUCUCUGCAAUGCUCUUUUUUCCCCCCAUUCCCAAUUUAUACAAUACUCUUGACCUCUCUGAUUCCUUGACAGAACCCUGAGUGGUAUCAUUAUUGGUACUGGGCAUGAAGUGAAGCCUGAACAAAUCUAAAAUAUGUGGCUUUGGUUUCAGGAGGGGGCAAUGAGUAGAGGUGGAAAAAAGCAGCAUGAAAACUGUUAGCAAAGACUGGGAAAAUCAUUAACGAAGCAUUAGCAGAGGUUGGGAAAGAGGUAAAAACUGCCACUGCAGACUGGAAAUGGUGGUUUGUGUUAUACAGCAGUGAAACAAAUUGGCAAAACUGUCAACCGUGGCAACUUGGAAGACAGAAAAUGUGCCUAAUGAACUUUUGGAUCUUUUCAAGCAGAAUGAUGAAAGCACCAGUCAGUUAGUCCCAGCUGCAUGUGAUAAAGUGCUAUGAGAGAGGUGAGGGUGAAGAAGGAAAUGUGGCUAGCAAGCACAAUUUAGAGGAAACAGAACAUGCAGGACUCGCUUUUGUUAGAAAGCAAAACUUGUUCGCAUCUCCAGCUGAUCCAGCCUGCAAAAGAUUAUCAGAGUAAGGAAUGGCCUCGGGGCUCUACGAGACCCUUUGCUGGUGGGGUGCAAUGACUCAUGUGUGUAAUCUCAGCACCUUGGGAGGCUGAACCCAGGAGUUUGAGAUCAGCCUGGGCAACAGCAAAAACCCAUCUCUACAAAAAACACAAAAAUUAGCCAGGUGUGGUGGCAUGCACCUGUGGUCCCAACUACUGGAGAGGCUGAGGUGGGAGGAUCACUUGAGCCCAGGAGGCCAAGGCUGCUGUAAGUUGUGAUCCCACAACUGCCCUCCAGCCUGGGUGGAAGAGUGAGACUUUGUCUCAAAACAUUAAAACAAAACAAAACAAAAAAAACCUUUGCUGGGCAGGCGUGAUGGCUCGCACCUGUAAUCCCAGAACUUUGGGAGGCUGAGGUGCGUGGAUCAUGAGAUCAGGGUUCCAGACCAGCCUGGCCAAGAUGGUGAAACCCAGUCUCUACUAAAAAUACAAAAAAAUUAGUUGGGCAUGGUGGUGGGUGCCUGUAAUCCCAGGUACUCGGGAAGCUGAGGCAGAGAAUUGAUUGAACCCAGGAGGUGGAGGUUGCAGUGAGCUGAGAUUGCGCCACUGCAUUCCAGCCUGGGCAGCAGAGCAAGACUCCAUCUCAAAAAAAAAAAAAAAAAAAACAAACCCUUUGCUAAGAUUUCAAAAACAGUUAAAGUUUGUGCCUAGUGGGCUCUCAGACAAGAGGACUUCUAGGAAUCUGAAAAAUAUGGUCCCAAAGAGAACUAAUUCCCAAACAGCUAUGAAUAAGUAUAAACAGUGGGCCUGUCUCAUAAAGAAUUGUGAAUGUGACUUACAUCUAAUGGAGAGGACCAUAAACCAGAUACAUAGAAAGCCCACAAAAUUUUUUAAGGAAUUUGUAUCUGCUUGGUUUAAAAAAUACUAAGACUUGGCCAGAUGUAGUGGCUAAUGCUUGUAAUCCCAGCACUUUAGGAGGCCAAGGCAGGAGGAUCACUUGAGGCCAAGAGUUGGUGACCAACCCUGGUACCAUAGUAAGACACUCUCUCUACAGAAAGAAAAGACUUGCUGAGUGCAGUGGCUCACGCCUGUAAUCCCAGCACUUUGGGAAGCCGAGGUGGGCAGAUUACCUGAGGUCAGGAAUUUGAGACUAGCUUGGCCAAUAUGGCAAAACCUCGUCUCUACUAAAAAUACAAAAAUUAGCCAGUCAUAAUGCCGUGCACCUGUAAUCCCAGCUACUCCAAAGGCUGAGGCAGAAGAAUCACUUGAAUCUGGGAGGCGGAGGUUGCACUGAGCCGAGAUCACGCCACUGCACUCCAGCCUGGGCAAUGAGAGUGAAACUCUGUCUCAAGGAAAGAAAAAAAAAAAGAGAGAGAGAAAAGAAAAGACUGAGGCUGGGCAACACUGUGGCUCAUGCCUAUAAUCCUAGCACUUUGGAAGGCUGAAGUGGGAGGAUCACUUGAGCCCAGCAGUUCAAGACCAGCCUGAGCAACAUAGUGAGACCUCAUUCUCUACAAAACAUCAAAAAAUUAGCCAGGCAUAGUGGCACACAUCUGUAGUCCCAGCUACUCGGGAGGCUGAGAUGGGAGGAUCCCUUGAAUCCAGGAGGUUGAGGCUGCAGUGAGCUGACAUCCCCACUGCACUCCAGCCUAGGUGACACAGCAAGACUUUGUCCCCUGUUAUUAAAAUAAAUAAAGAUUGAGGUUGGUCCGAGUACAGAGGUAUUUGCAACUGAUUGAUUACAACUAGUUACAGAUUUGUUUGUUCCUUCUCCACUCCCACUGCUUCACUUGACUAGCCUAAAAAAUAAUAAUAAUAACUCUCUCUAUAUAUAUAUUUUAGACAGAGUCUCCCUCUGUCACCCAGGCUGGAGUUCAGUGGCAUGAUCACGACUUACUGCAGCCUCAACCUUCCAGGCUCAGGUUAUCCUCCCACCUCAACUUCCUGAGUAGCUGGCACCACAGGUGCACACUAUCACACCCAGCUAGUUUUUUGUAUUUUCUGUAGAGACAGGGUUUUGCUGUGUUGCCCAGGCUAGUCUCAAACUCCUGGGCUGAAGCAAUCUGCCCGCCUUAGUCUCCCAAAAUGCUGGAAUUAAGGCAUGAGCCACUUCAUCCAGCCAUGAUAAUGAAUUUAAAUAGAGUAAGACUGACCAGAUUAUAAGGAGACCUCCAGGCCCCCAAGUUUCUAUGGGUAGGAAGCAGGCUGAAGAAUCUACUCAGCUACAAAUAUAGGCCAUUUUCUUUUCUUUUUUUAAUUAAAAAAAAUUUCUUUGGGCAGGCAUGGGGGCUCACAUCUCUAAUCCCAGCACUCUGGGAGGCCAAGGCAGGUGGAUCAUUUGAGCUCAAGACCAGUCUGGACAACAUAGUGAGACCCCAUCUCUAUUUUUUAAAUAUUCAGCCAGGCGUGGUGGCUCACACCUGUAAUCCC